UACGUAGGGUGCAAGCGUUGAUCGGAAUUACUGGGCGUAAAGCGUGCGUAGGCGGCUUUGCAAGUCAGAUGUGAAAUCCCCGGGCUUAACCUGGGAACUGCAUUUGUGACUGCAUGGCUGGAGUGCGGCAGAGGGGGAUGGAAUUCCGCGUGUAGCAGUGAAAUGCGUAGAUAUGAGGAGGAGCACCGAUGGCGAAGGCAAUCCGCUGGGCCUGCACUGACGCUCAUGCACGAAAGCGUGGGGAGCAAACAGG
rnacentral:rRNA from 1 species